rnacentral:rRNA from 1 species
GAUGAACGCUAGCGGGAGGCCUAACACAUGCAAGCCGAGCGGUAGAAUUUCUUCGGAAAUUUGAGAGCGGCGUACGGGUGCGGAACACGUGUGCAACCUGCCUUUAUCUGGAGGAUAGCCUUUCGAAAGGAAGAUUAAUACUCCAUAAUAUACAAGAUGGCAUCAUUUAGUAUUGAAAGCUCCGGCGGAUAAAGAUGGGCACGCGCAAGAUUAGAUAGUUGGUGAGGUAACGGCUCACCAAGUCUGCGAUCUUUAGGGGGCCUGAGAGGGUGAUCCCCCACACUGGUACUGAGACACGGACCAGACUCCUACGGGAGGCAGCAGUGAGGAAUAUUGGACAAUGGGUGCAAGCCUGAUCCAGCCAUCCCGCGUGAAGGAUUAAGGACCUAUGGUUUGUAAACUUCUUUUGUACAGGGAUAAACCUAUCUACGUGUAGAUAGCUGAAGGUACUGUACGAAUAAGCACCGGCUAACUCCGUGCCAGCAGCCGCGGUAAUACGGAGGGUGCAAGCGUUAUCCGGAUUUAUUGGGUUUAAAGGGUCCGUAGGCGGAUCUAUAAGUCAGUGGUGAAAGCCGACAGCUUAACUGUCGAACUGCCGUUGAUACUGUAGGUCUUGAGUAAAUUUGAAGUGGCUGGAAUAAGUAGUGUAGCGGUGAAAUGCAUAGAUAUUACUUAGAACACCAAUUGCGAAGGCAGGUCACUAAGAUUUAACUGACGCUGAUGGACGAAAGCGUGGGGAGCGAACAGG